rnacentral:rRNA from 1 species
GACGAACGCUGGCGGCGUGCCUAAUACAUGCAAGUAGAACGCUGAAGGAGGAGCUUGCUUCUCUGGAUGAGUUGCGAACGGGUGAGUAACGCGUAGGUAACCUGCCUGGUAGCGGGGGAUAACUAUUGGAAACGAUAGCUAAUACCGCAUAAUAGCAGUUGUUGCAUGACAACUGUUUGAAAGGUGCAAUUGCACCACUACCAGAUGGACCUGCGUUGUAUUAGCUAGUUGGUGGGGUAACGGCUCACCAAGGCGACGAUACAUAGCCGACCUGAGAGGGGGAUCGGCCACACUGGGACUGAGACACGGCCCAGACUCCUACGGGAGGCAGCAGUAGGGAAUCUUCGGCAAUGGACGGAAGUCUGACCGAGCAACGCCGCGUGAGUGAAGAAGGUUUUCGGAACGUAAAGCUCUGUUGUAAGAGAAGAACGAGUGUGAGAGUGGAAAGUUCACACUGUGACGGUAUCUUACCAGAAAGAGACGGCUAACUACGUG